rnacentral:sRNA from 1 species
ACGUGGCUGAUGACCGACGCUGAUGUAUUGUAGUUAUUCUUUUUUAUUUUGUUUAUAAUUCAUAUAUUUUCCGUGUCUCUAUUCAGGUUGUAAAUUCAAUUCAGUUUGUAAGUUAAGCUUCACUUAAAUUGUAGGUUUUAGCUUUAUUUAGCCUGUAAGUUUUGAAUUAUUUAGGAUGUAAUUUUUAGGAUUAUGAAGCAAGUGAUCUUAAGGUUAUGUAGUAUGUAGACUUUAGGGUUAUUUGGCAUGUAGUUUUUAGGCUGUAACUUUAUAUUGUAUGUAGUUUUUAGGAUUAACUGACACAUAAUUUUUAAGAUUAUUCGGCAUGUAGUUUUAGCCUUUUUUUUUUUUUUUUUUUUGCAUGUAGUUUUUAUAUAUUUAGGUUGUAGCUCCAAAGAUAGAAUUUCUUCAACGCAAAUUCACAGAAAAUAAAAAAAAUCCAAUUUUCUUGCUUUUACUCUGGUGUUUUGUUCUUGGUUUAUGGUGUUUAUAUCAAGGUUGGAGUUGUUCACACUGCUUUGUGCCACAGGGCAUAUAAUUUAACCGCAGUCACUUGGCAGAAAAACUCAAUUUUUUUUUACCAUAUAUUUUACACGCGGGUUUUCACAUCCAGCCAACUCCAACUUCAAGGUCCAAGAGAGGGCAAAACCGGCAAGGAAGUCGGCCAUUUUCCUCAAAUUUCCCGUCAUGGCAGGCUUUCGACCAGUCCUUCCUUGACGGCUUCUCCUCCUCUUCUUCCCGUUUCAAUCACUGAACACAUGAUUCCCAGGGUUGUCCUCCUAUGCCCAAAUGUAUUCACAAUAGUCAUACAUAUGAUCUAAAGGGGGAUGCCCACCGCUGGAAGGCCGCACACCACAAACCCAACCAUCCUGCCGAUAUCGCUAUCAAAGGAUGGGAGGGAAAAAGUGCGAUUUCUCUCUGUGUAUUCCUAAGAAAAUCCGGUUGUCUAUGCAUGUACAUCCCUUAAAGCAUGUCUGAACUGACAUCCCUACUCCAGCAAACCAAUCUAUCGCACAACCAGUGGAACCGCUCGUCCAAUUUGGGGAACUAAUCGUUCAAUCUGAUAAUUUCCUCUAAACCAUUCCAUGUCACCUACGCUGAAACCUAUGACAACCGACUUGCGUGAAAAGAGGUUCAGGGAAAUGCUACAGCCACCAAAUUCAGUAUACGACCUGAAAUCAUAACUUUAAAACGUAAAAAUUUCCACGUCUCCCAGUGUGUCUACCCUUUAUGGCAAAUCUCCCUGUGUGGACCUUCCUUAACCACACUGACAUACGUGCCCACCACUAGGGCCGGGCCUGUGGGUAUCACUUCUCAGUGAAUGGAAUAGAUAGCAGAUGAUAAAAUGAAGAAGAAUCAAUGAAAAAUUGUGGACAUUUCAACCGGUACGGUCGCAGCUCGCUGAAUAAAAAAAAAUUAAAAAAAGGUCCGGCAACAACUACGAAGGAAAUGCUACCCAACAAGGCGACGAAUUCGACAAACCAGUCUUCGCGAGCAUUCUGAGACCCGGUGAGGUGCAACGGCCCUGGAAGUAUUAGAAAGGCAGUAAUUGACAUGGUGAGUAAUGGAUGCAUCCACUACGACUCCUCUCCACUCGUCCGCGCGGUAACAUGUUAUACUGUGUUCUUAAUGCCAAAGAGAUAGAAGGACUGAUGGCUCGCGUGCGGUGUCCCGUAGCAGGCCGCGCAAUGCUGGGACGUAGUGUGAGUGUGAGCCGAUUGCCAAUUAGUACCUUUCGAACACUUCUUAGGUGCCGACUCCAAGCCAUCCUCUCAUCGAGGGCGGUGCGAAAGACUGGUAGUCUUCGUCCAGCAUCCUUUAACAGCAGAGUUCUCCAGGUAAGUGUCGGGUAAGUAUAGACUCUAAGCCUUUCUCUUACAGCAUGCCAAGCAAAUGAAGUGCACCUUUUGCGUAAACUGCAUCACAUCUCAAACUGUGCAACAAGUCGCCAAUGGGACCCAAAAGGAAACGGCGGACGAUCUGAACCAAAUAAAGAAAAGGAAGGUAAGUCUAUGCCUAUUGCGGAAACCCGUUCCAACCUAACACCUUUUCACGAUUUCCUCAGGUCUCCCUCUGAAAUCAUAAUGGAUUACACACCCAAAUCAGGCCCGCCAGGAACCAGGUGAGUCAAAUUUCUUCCUCUACUUGAACACUUUGCUCCUACCACAACGUCACCUGACCCGGGUAACUAAGGGAACUCCCAAGUCCAAGGCGCUCUCAGAAAUAGCGCCAUCUCGUGCAAAAAGAAAAUGUUCGGUCGUAUAAAUUGGUCAACACGAAUCCUUACUGCAAUCUGACCUUACCAUCCAAAAUUGAUGAAAAUUGUCCCACUGUCGAAGCAAACUGGCUAAAUAAAAGAUGAAGCCCUCGUCGUGUGACGCCGUCGGAAAAAAAAAUUGGUAUUUAUACGUCGAUGAAAUCCUGGUACAAAAGAAAGGAAUAAAUGCAAUUGGAGUGUCUCCAUGUGAACAAAGCCCAAGUGUACUUAGUGAAAGUUCACUAGACGAUUUCCCCUAGGGCAGUUAUAGGUGCUUUCGCAUAAUGGCUGGUACUCACCUCGGUUUUCACCGGGGAAAACCCAUAUUCCUCGCGGUAACUUCCUUUUCUUGAAAAACUAUA